rnacentral:piRNA from 1 species
UAAAGCUAUGAUUGAUGCCCAAGACAGAUA